GACGAACGCUGGCGGCGUGCCGAAUACAUGCAAGUCGAACGCUUCUUUCCUCCCGAGUGCUUGCACUCAAUUGGAAAGAGGAGUGGCGGACGGGUGAGCAACACGUGGGUAACCUACCCAUCAGCGGGGGAUAACACUUGGAAACAGGUGCUAAUACCGCAUAACAGUUUAUGCCGCAUGGCAUAAGAGUGAAAGGCGUUUUCGGGUGUCGCGGAUGAAUGGACUCGCGGUCCAUUAGCUAGUUGGUGAGGUAACGGUUCACCAAGUCGACAAUGCAUAGCGGAUCUGAGCGGCCAUUACGCCGCACUGGAACUGAGCCACGGCCCAUACUCCUACGAGAAACCACAGUGGGAAAUCUUCGGCGAUGAACGAAUGUCUGACAAAGAAACGGAGCGUGAGUGAAGAAGGAUUUCGGAUCGUAAAACUCUGUUGUUAGAGAAGAACAAGAACGUUAGUAACUCGACGUCCCGUGACGGUAUCUAACCAGAAAGCAACGGCUAACUACGUG
rnacentral:rRNA from 1 species